ACUCUAAUAGUUUAUAAAAAACAUUGGUCUUGUAAACCAAAGACUGAAGACCCCUUCUUAGAGUU
rnacentral:tRNA from 1 species